rnacentral:rRNA from 1 species
UAGGGAAUCUUCGGCAAUGGGGGGAACCCUGACCGAGCAACGCCGCGUGAGUGAAGAAGGUUUUCGGAUCGUAAAGCUCUGUUGUUAAGGAAGAACGAGUGUGAGAAUGGAAAGUUCAUGCUGUGACGGUACUUAACCAGAAAGGGACGGCUAACUACGUGCCAGCAGCCGCGGUAAUACGUAGGUCCCGAGCGUUGUCCGGAUUUAUUGGGCGUAAAGCGAGCGCAGGCGGUUAUAAAAGUCUGAAGUGAAAGGCAGUGGCUCAACCAUUGUAGGCUUUGGAAACUGUUUAACUUGAGUGCAGAAGGGGAGAGUGGAAUUCCAUGUGUAGCGGUGAAAUGCGUAGAUAUAUGGAGGAACACCGGUGGCGAAAGCGGCUCUCUGGUCUGUAACUGACGCUGAGGCUCGAAAGCGUGGGUAGCAAACAGG